GACGAACGCUGGCGGCGUGCCUAAUACAUGCAAGUAGAACGCUGUAGAGAGGAGCUUGCUCUUCUUGGAUGAGUUGCGAACGGGUGAGUAACGCGUAGGUAACCUGCCUUGUAGCGGGGGAUAACUAUUGGAAACGAUAGCUAAUACCGCAUAACAAUGGAUGACACAUGUCAUUUAUUUGAAAGGGGCAAUUGCUCCACUACAAGAUGGACCUGCGUUGUAUUAGCUAGUAGGUGAGGUAACGGCUCACCUAGGCGACGAUACAUAGCCGACCUGAGAGGGUGAUCGGCCACACUGGGACUGAGACACGGCCCAGACUCCUACGGGAGGCAGCAGUAGGGAAUCUUCGGCAAUGGGGGCAACCCUGACCGAGCAACGCCGCGUGAGUGAAGAAGGUUUUCGGAUCGUAAAGCUCUGUUGUAAGUCAAGAACGAGUGUGAGAGUGGAAAGUUCACACUGUGACGGUAGCUUACCAGAAAGGGACGGCUAACUACGUGCCAGCAGCCGCGGUAAUACGUAGGUCCCGAGCGUUGUCCGGAUUUAUUGGGCGUAAAGCGAGCGCAGGCGGUUUGAUAAGUCUGAAGUUAAAGGCUGUGGCUCAACCAUAGUUCGCUUUGGAAACUGUCAAACUUGAGUGCAGAAGGGGAGAGUGGAAUUCCAUGUGUAGCGGUGAAAUGCGUAGAUAUAUGGAGGAACACCGGUGGCGAAAGCGGCUCUCUGGUCUGUAACUGACGCUGAGGCUCGAAAGCGUGGGGAGCGAACAGGAUUAGAUACCCUGGUAGUCCACGCCGUAAACGAUGAGUGCUAGGUGUUGGAUCCUUUCCGGGAUUCAGUGCCGCAGCUAACGCAUUAAGCACUCCGCCUGGGGAGUACGACCGCAAGGUUGAAACUCAAAGGAAUUGACGGGGGCCCGCACAAGCGGUGGAGCAUGUGGUUUAAUUCGAAGCAACGCGAAGAACCUUACCAAAUCUUGACAUCCUUUGACAACUCUAGAGAUAGAGCCUUCCCCUUCGGGGGACAAAGUGACAGGUGGUGCAUGGUUGUCGUCAGCUCGUGUCGUGAGAUGUUGGGUUAAGUCCCGCAACGAGCGCAACCCUUAAGCUUAGUUGCCAUCAUUAAGUUGGGCACUCUAAGUUGACUGCCGGUGACAAACCGGAGGAAGGUGGGGAUGACGUCAAAUCAUCAUGCCCCUUAUGAUUUGGGCUACACACGUGCUACAAUGGACAAUACAAAGGGCAGCGAAACCGCGAGGUCAAGCAAAUCCCAUAAAGUUGUUCUCAGUUCGGAUUGUAGUCUGCAACUCGACUACAUGAAGCUGGAAUCGCUAGUAAUCGUAGAUCAGCAUGCUACGGUGAAUACGUUCCCGGGUCU
rnacentral:rRNA from 1 species